GUUGUUGCAGUUAAAAAGCUCGUAGUUGGAUUUCUGGUACAACGCGCCUGGCCCGCUUUUAGUGAGUGCCGGUGCGCGUUUGCCAUCCUUCUAGAAAACGUUUCUACCGGGGCAACCGGGCCGGACUCGCGAUCUAUAUCUUUUACUUUGAAAAAAUUAGAGUGUUUAAAGCAGGCUUUUGCUGUGAAUACAUUAGCAUGGAAUAAUAAUCUAGGACUUCGGUUCUAUUUUGUUGGUUUCUAAUACUGAAGUAAUGAUUGAUAGGGAUAGUUGGGGGUGCUAAUAUUGGCCGGCCAGAGGUGAAAUUCUUGGAUUCGGUCAAGACUAACUUAUGCGAAAGCAUUCACCAAGGAUGUCUUCUUUAAUCAAGAACGAAAGUUGGGGGAUCGAAUACGAUCAGAUACCGUCGUAGUCUCAACCAUAAACUAUGCCAACUAGGGAUGGGUGAACGUUGUUUUCUUGACUUCAUCUGCUCCUUAUGAGAAAUCAAAGUCUUUGGGUUCCGGGGGGAGUAUGGUCGCAAGGCUGAAACUUAUAGGAAUUGACGGAAGGGCACCACCAGGAGUGGAGCCUGCGGCUUAAUUUGACUCAACACGGGAAAACUUACCAGGUCCGGACAUAGUGAGGA
rnacentral:rRNA from 1 species